AGUAUCAGAUGAUGAAACCUCGAAACAAUCUUAGGACACCUUCUGACACAGUGUUUCAUCACUGUGAGUGAGAAGUACCUUCUUUUCUGAUGAUACA
rnacentral:snoRNA from 1 species